rnacentral:rRNA from 1 species
UACGAAGGGGGCUAGCGUUGCUCGGAAUUACUGGGCGUAAAGCGCACGUAGGCGGUUUCUUAAGUCGGGGGUGAAAUCCUGGAGCUCAACUCCAGAACUGCCUUCGAUACUGGGAAACUUGAGUCCGGGAGAGGUGAGUGGAACUGCGAGUGUAGAGGUGAAAUUCGUAGAUAUCGCAAGAACACCAGUGGCGAAGGCGGCUCACUGGCCCGGUACUGACGCUGAGGUGCGAAAGCGUGGGGAGCAAACAGGG